rnacentral:snRNA from 1 species
AUCGCUUCUCGGCCUUUUGGCUAAGAUCAAAGUGUAGUAUCUGUUCUUAUCAGCUUAAUAUCUGAUACGUCCUCCAUUGGGGGACAUCGAUAUUAAACUGAUUUUUGAAAGGGGGGUUGAGGUGCCCGGGGCUUGCUCCGCCCUCAACACACGGGUUGACCCGGUAUUGCAGUACUUCCGGGAAUGGCCCACCCACU